AGGUUAAGCUAAUAAGGGCGCACGGAGGAUGCCUAGGCGCCAGGAGCUGAAGAAGGACGCGGCGAACAGCGAAAUUGCCUCGGGGAGCCGUAAGCAGGCUUUGAUCCGGGGAUGUCCGAAUGGGGAAACCCGGCUGGAGUAAUGUCCAGUCACCCAUCACUGAAUACAUAGGUGAUGAGGGAGCACACCAGGGGAACUGAAACAUCUAAGUACCCUGAGGAAGAGAAAACAACAGUGAUUCCGUCAGUAGCGGCGAGCGAAAGCGGAUUAGCCCAAACCAAGGAGCUUGCUCCUUGGGGUUGUGGGACGUCUCACAUGGAGUAAGAAAAGAGCAGGUUAGGCGAAGAGGUCUGGAAAGGCCCGGCAUAGAGGGUAAAAGCCCCGUAGCCGAAAGUCUGCUCUCUCCGAGACGGAUCCCGAGUACCGCGGGACACGUGAAACCCCGUGGGAAUCCGGCAGGACCAUCUGCCAAGGCUAAAUACUCCCUGGCGACCGAUAGCGAAGCAGUACCGUGAGGGAAAGGUGAAAAGCACCGCGGGAGCGGAGUGAAAAAGAACCUGAAACCGUGCGCUUACAAGAAGUCAGAGCCCGAUCUAGGGGUGAUGGCGUGCCUUUUGUAGAAUGAACCGGCGAGUUACGUUUACGUGCGAGGUUAAGUCGGAGAGACGGAGCCGCAGCGAAAGCGAGUCUGAAUAGGGCGMUUCAGUACGUAGGCGUAGACCCGAAACCGUGUGAUCUACCCCUGUGCAGGGUGAAGGUGAGGUAACACUCACUGGAGGCCCGAACUCACAAGCGUUGAAAAGCUUGGGGAUGACGUGGGGGUAGGGGAGAAAUUCCAAUCGAACUCGGAGAUAGCUGGUUCUCCCCGAAAUAGCUUUAGGGCUAGCCUCGAGGUUUAGCAUCAUGGAGGUAGAGCACUGAUUGGGUGCGGGGCCCGCCAAGGGUUACCAAGUCCAGUCAAACUCCGAAUGCCAUGCAUGUAUACUCGGGAGUCAGACAGCGAGUGCUAAGAUCCGUUGUCAAGAGGGAAAGAGCCCAGAUCAUCAGCUAAGGUCCCUAAGUGUGUGUUAAGUGGGAAAGGAUGUGGAGUUGCGAAGACAACCAGGAUGUUGGCUUAGAAGCAGCCACCAUUUAAAGAGUGCGUAAUAGCUCACUGGUCGAGUGACUCUGCGCCGAAAAUGUAACGGGGCUAAACACACCACCGAAGCUAUGGCAUGUCGUAGUCUUCUCUUUGUCAUCGAGCCGUGUGCGGCACCGGGCAUUCAUCGAAAUCAACCUUUAACGGUUAUUCAAGGAUUUCGAUCAAAUGCCCAAGCUAAGCACACCGCCACUCGAAGGCGUAGAGAAGACUACGACUUGGGUAGGGGAGCGUUGAAUGCGGGUUGAAGUCAGACCGRRAGGACUGGUGGACUGCAUUCAAGUGAGAAUGCCGGUAUGAGUAACGAAAAGACAAGUGAGAAUCUUGUCCGCCGAAAGCCUAAGGGUUCCUGAGGAAGGUUCGUCCGCUCAGGGUAAGUCGGGACCUAAGGCGAGGCCGAAAGGCGUAGUCGAAGGACAACAGGUUGAAAUUCCUGUACCACCGUAAGCCGUUAUGAGCGAUGGGGGGACGCAGGAGGGCAAGAACGCGAGCUGAUGGAAUAGCUCGUCCAAGCAGCAAGACUUGUGUGUAGGCAAAUCCGCACACUUUAAGGUCAAGCUGUGAUGGGGAGGGAAAAUUAYAGUACCGAAGGUUCCGUGCUCACGCUGCCGAGAAAAGCCUCUAGCCAGGUGAUGGUGCCCGUACCGCAAACCGACACAGGUAGGCGAGAAGAGAAUUCUAAGGCGCGCGGAAGAACUCUCGUUAAGGAACUCGGCAAAAUGACCCCGUAACUUCGGGAGAAGGGGUGCCUCGGUAGGGUGAAUAGCCCGAGGGGGCCGCAGUGAAUAGGCCCAAGCGRCUGUUUAGCAAAAACACAGGUCUGUGCGAAGCCGUAAGGCGAAGUAUACGGGCUGACGCCUGCCCGGUGCUGGAAGGGUAAGAGGAGCGGUUAGGGGYAACCCGAAGCUGUGAAUUGAAGCCCCAGUCAACGGCGGCCGUAACUAUAACGGUCCUAAGGUAGCGAAAUUCCUUGUCAGGUAAAUUCUGACCCGCACGAAUGGCGUAACGACUUGGGCGCUGUCUCAACGAGAGAUCCGGUGAAAUUUUAGUACCUGUGAAGAUGCAGGUUACCCGCGACGUGACGGAAAGACCCCAUGGAGCUUUACUGUAGCUUGAUAUUGAACUUUGGUACGGUCUGUACAGGAUAGGUGGGAGCCUUUGAAGCCGGAGCGCCAGCUUCGGUGGAGGCGACGUUGGGAUACCACCCUGAUCGUAUCGGAGUUCUAACCUGUCGCCAUGAAACUGGCGAAGGGACCGUGUCAGGCGGACAGUUUGACUGGGGCGGUCGCCUCCUAAAGCGUAACGGAGGCGCCCUAAGGUUCCCUCAGAAUGGUUGGAAAUCAUUCGAAGAGUGCAAAGGCAUAAGGGAGCUUGACUGCGAGACCUACAAGUCGAGCAGGGACGAAAGUCGGGCUUAGUGAUCCGGUGGUACCGAAUGGAAGGGCCAUCGCUCAACGGAUAAAAGCUACCCUGGGGAUAACAGGCUUAUCUCCCCCAAGAGUCCACAUCGACGGGGAGGUUUGGCACCUCGAUGUCGGCUCAUCGCAUCCUGGGGCUGAAGUAGGUCCCAAGGGUUGGGCUGUUCGCCCAUUAAAGCGGUACGCGAGCUGGGUUCAGAACGUCGUGAGACAGUUCGGUCCCUAUCUGUCGCGGGCGUAGGAAAUUUGAGAGGGGCUGUCCUUAGUACGAGAGGACCGGGAUGGACGCACCGCUGGUGUACCAGUUGUUCCGCCAGGAGCAUCGCUGGGUAGCCAAGUGCGGGAGGGAUAAGCGCUGAAAGCAUCUAAGCGCGAAGCCCGCCUCAAGAUGAGAUUUCCCAAUUMGUAAGACCCCUUGGAGAACACGAGGUUGAUAGGCUCGGGGUGUAAGCACRGCAAYGUGUGYAGCUGACGAGUACUAAUCGGUCGAGGGCUUAUCCUAA
rnacentral:rRNA from 1 species